rnacentral:rRNA from 1 species
GAUGAACGCUAGCUACAGGCUUAACACAUGCAAGUCGCGGGGCAGCAUGGGGGUUGCUUGCAAUCCCCGAUGGCGACCGGCGCACGGGUGAGUAACGCGUAUCCAACCUGCCCUUCACCACGGGAUAACCCGGCGAAAGUCGGACUAAUACCGUAUGUUGUCCAUUGACGGCACCCGAUUUGGACGAAAGGCUUGGCGGUGAGGGAUGGGGAUGCGUCCGAUUAGCCAGACGGCGGGGUAACGGCCCACCGUGGCUACGAUCGGUAGGGGUUCUGAGAGGAAGGUCCCCCACACUGGAACUGAGACACGGUCCAGACUCCUACGGGAGGCAGCAGUGAGGAAUAUUGGUCAAUGGGCGUAAGCCUGAACCAGCCAAGUAGCGUGCAGGAUGACGGCCCUAUGGGUUGUAAACUGCUUUUAUGCGGGGAUAAAGUGGCCCACGUGUGGGCUUUUGCAGGUACCGCAUGAAUAAGGACCGGCUAAUUCCGUG